rnacentral:tRNA from 1 species
GUCGUGAGUUCCAGAGGUAGAGCAACGGACUUCUAAUCCGUUGGUCACCGGCUCAAAUCCCGUACGGC